rnacentral:rRNA from 1 species
GUGAACGCUGGCGGCGUGCUUAACACAUGCAAGUCGAACGAUGAAGUCCUUCGGGAUGGAUUAGUGGCGCACGGGUGAGUAUACUAUAGGUAAUGUGCCUCUUAGUCUGGGAUAGCCACUGGAAACGGUGAUUAAUACUAGAUACUCCUUCUCAUUACAAGAUGAGUUGGGAAAGUUUUUUCGCUAAGAGAUCGGCCUAUAUUUUAUUAGUUAGUUGGUGAGGUAAUGGUUUAUUAAGGUAAUGAUGGGUAGUGGGUUUGAGAGGAUGAUUUGUUAUAUUGGUAUUGAGAUAUGGAUUAGAUUUUUAUGGGAGGUAGUAGUGAGGAAUAUUGCAUAAUGGGGGAAAUUUUGAUGUAGCAACGCCGCGUGGAGGAUGACGCAUUUCGGUGUGUAAACUCCUUUUAUAUGUCAAGAAAAUGACGGUAGCAUAUGAAUAAGCACCGGCUAACUCCGU